AGCUCCACCGGAUCGCACGCACGCGUGACGACCAGGUAGUCGCGCAGCGCGAUGCCGUGGCGGUUCUC
rnacentral:sRNA from 1 species